rnacentral:rRNA from 1 species
UACGGAGGGUGCAAGCGUUGUCCGGAUUUAUUGGGUUUAAAGGGUGCGUAGGCGGUUCUUUAAGUCUGGGGUGAAAGCCCGUUGCUCAACAACGGAACUGCCCUGGAAACUGGAGGACUUGAGUACAGACGAGGGUGGCGGAAUGGAUGGUGUAGCGGUGAAAUGCAUAGAUACCAUCCAGAACCCCGAUUGCGAAGCAGCUGCCUAGACUGUAACUGACGCUGAGGCACGAAAGCGUGGGGAGCGAACAGG